CUGAGUUGACUACUUGUAGCUCCCCAGUGAAGUCAGCAUGAUGCUUUCUGUUCAGAGUACAAAUUUUUAUACCAUGCAUCUGAAGUAGUCCUUUCCCCUAAAAACAAUCACAAAUUUCAGGCUGUUAUUGCGUGCAAAGACUUGGCCAUUAGGGUUUACUCUUCCCUUGCAUGGCCCACUAGGUCAAACAGAGCAGAUUCCAUAAUACCUGACAUCUUUGAUACAAUCUGAAAAACAUAAUCAAAUUACAUUCUGGAAAACACUGGCUUUGCACGAAAACAGAGGUUUCUAAAAUGCUGCCACUUAAAGUCUCACUUCUGUGACUUCUUACCCAUCACUCACAGGAUGCUGAGCUCUGGAUGGCCACAGCAGCUGAGGAUGCAAAGAGCAUGAUGGAUCAACUAUUCUAUCACGGAGAAGUCACCCACCAGCAGCUCCCGGUUAUUGGAAAGGUGGAUGGAACAGCAGAGAUCAUCCCACCCAUUCAUUUUCCUGAGGACACCAAGACCAGGAGCUCAGAACAGGCUCGGGUUGCACCGCCAGGGGACGCUGUGUACAAGGGGGCCCCGAUGAUGAGGCCCAGUUCUGCAGCCUCACUUCUCAGCCCUUCUGCCUCAAGAUGCUUGCCUCUCUUUCUGCAUUUUUUCCAAGUUAACACGCAAGACCAAAGAAAGGAAAAAUAAAGGAGCAAACACAACGGAUCAACCCAUUCAAGCAAAGCCAGGUCCCUCCCCUGCCUUGCAUUUCCCAGGUACUGGCUAAGCCUCGGGCGGCUUCAAGGAAAGUUUAAAUUCCUUAGACUCAAGGGACGACAAAGUCACCAGUGAGAAGUGAGCUGAGCGCGGGGCGCUGGGACACCCGGGCCAUCUAAGUUCUCCGGGACGCGGCACCCAGGAACUUGGGGCGCCCCACGCCAGUCCCCUUGCGCCCCCAACCCGACCCAGGUAACCAACCCGAGGCCACCUACGUGUCACUCGGACGGACCCUGGGGCGCACUGACC
rnacentral:lncRNA from 1 species